UACGUAGGGUGCAAGCGUUGUCCGGAAUUAUUGGGCGUAAAGAGUUCGUAGGCGGUUUGUCGCGUCCGUUGUGAAAGCUUGGGGCUCAACCCCAAGCCUGCAGUGGAUACGGGCAGACUAGAGUCAGGUAGGGGAGAACGGAAUUCCUGGUGUAGCGGUGAAAUGCGCAGAUAUCAGGAGGAACACCGGUGGCGAAGGCGGUUCUCUGGGCCUGUACUGACGCUGAGGAACGAAAGCGUGGGGAGCGAACAGG
rnacentral:rRNA from 1 species